CAGUCGCCGCGGGAAAACGGAGGGUGCAAGCGUUAAUCGGAAUUACUGGGCGUAAAGCGCACGCAGGCGGUCUGUCAAGUCAGAUGUGAAAUCCCCGGGCUUAACCUGGGAACUGCAUUUGAAACUGGCAGUCUAGAGUCUUGUAGAGGGGGGUAGAAUUCCAGGUGUAGCGGUGAAAUGCGUAGAGAUCUGGAGGAAUACCGGUGGCGAAGGCGGCCCCCUGGACAAAGACUGACGCUCAGGUGCGAAAGCGUGGGGAGCAAACAGGAUUAGAUACCCGAGUAGUCCCUGUCUCUUAUAC
rnacentral:rRNA from 1 species